UGUGGAAUUGCCUUUGAUACUGCUCACCUUGAGUCCAGCUGAGGUAGGCGGAAUGUAGUAUGUAGCGGUGAAAUGCUUAGAUAUACUACAGAACACCGAUUGCGAAGGCAGCUUACCAAACUGGCACUGACGCUCAGGCACGAAAGCGUGGGGAGCGAACAGGAUUAGAUACCCUGGUAGUCCACGCCGUAAACGUUGAUCACUCGUUGUUGGCAAUACACCGUCAGCGACCUAGCUAAUGCGCUAAGUGAUCCACCUGGGGAGUACGAUCGCAAGGUUGAAACUCAAAGGAAUUGACGGGGGCCCGCACAAGCGGAGGAGCAUGUGGUUUAAUUCGAUGAUACGCGAGGAACCUUACCUGGGCUUAAAUGUAGUGUGCAUUCCCGAGAAAUCGGGAUUUCCUUCGGGACUCAUUACAAGGUGCUGCAUGGUUGUCGUCAGCUCGUGCCGUGAGGUGUCGGGUUAAGUCCCAUAACGAGCGCAACCCCUAUCUUUAGUUGCUAACGGGUUAUGCUGAGGACUCUAAAGAAACUGCCCGCGCAAGCGGUGAGGAAGGUGGGGAUGACGUCAAAUCAGCACGGCCCUUAUGUCCAGGGCUACACACGUGCUACAAUGGCAGGUACAGUGGGCAGCUACCACGCAAGUGGAUGCUAAUCUCCAAAACCUGUCUCAGUCCGGAUCGGAGUCUGCAACCCGACUCCGCGAAGCUGGAUUCGCUAGUAAUCGCACAUCAGCC
rnacentral:rRNA from 1 species